rnacentral:lncRNA from 1 species
GUUUACUAUCCCAAGUGGUGGCCACAGAGAUGUGCCACCCAUUUUGCAGUCUCUGUUUCAACAGUAAUGAUCUCCAGCUGAAGGAUGGGAAGAAGCUGGCAAUGGUAAUAUAAAUAGCCCCAGUAUGGGCUGGCAGCCCUCCUCUUGAAUCCCACCUUCAGUGACAUUCUGAAUACAUGCUGUGAGUAAAACUCCCACAUUGCAAGCUAACUGGGUGGGGAUUUCACAAGCAGAAGCCCCGGGGGGGGGGGUUGAUGCCAUCUCUGUCUGUUUUAUUUGGAAGCCUGAGCUAGCAGUGAGGUUUUAUGAAGUGUGCAUUUCUAUCUCAAGUUUUAGAUAGCGUUAACUACAAACCCACAUACGUUAUUGUCACUGGGAUUAACAAAGAUAAUCUCUGUCUGUCAGAAUUUGCUACAGAGCCUAAGAUUUUGUUGAAUACAAGUAACCUCUGAGACAACCUUGGGAAGUCCAAGCCUAAGUGCCACUCCACGUGCCUUUUACUCUACUUAUCUGCCCCUCUCUUUUCUCUGUUGUCUCACUGUCGCCCUUUUUCCUUAACUCAGUUUCUGGGAUUUGGUUGGCACUAUGGGUCUGCAAACAGUUGAACCACAACACUGCAGGAGCUGCAAGUGCUGACAGCAAUGGAGGAGUGAGCCAAGGAACCAGGACUCUUUUCAACCUAUGGAAUUCUGUCUGCUACUUUGAAGAGGGCUGCAAAAGAUCACAAAGACAAGGAAGCUUAUUGUCAGUAGAUUUAAAUGAGCUAUCCAGGGGUCUGUGAUUCCAAGGGAAGACUUCAGGAGUUGAUUAUAAAGUUGUAGAUCAGCUCGAUCCAUUAAAUUCCACCCAUCUUUGUAAUCUUUGGACUGACAAACAUCCUUCUGGCAGGACCUGUGCAGCUGAACUAACUCUUUGUCACUGAAUAUUGUGGAUUCAAGAUGCUGCUCUGUCCCCUAUGCUGGGAAAUCCAUGUGGAAACCUCCAACCUGGCACCGGAUACCAGUGGACUGAGCCGGAAACAAAACCUUUGCUUUAGAGAAGCUGGAGUAGCUGGGACCAUACAACCCAUUCAGAUCUACCAAGCAUGUGCAGAAUUAAGAACUUUUCAAGCUGUUCAGUCCUUCAUUUCAAGCCAGCAAGCAAUGCAAGCUCCUGAAGAGACCCCUUCAAUUCCACUUUUGGAACCAGGGUCCUCAGCGUCUUGUUGGCUCAAACUUAAGACAGCUCCACUUGUAAUCCAUGUUUAUGUGAGGAAUCCUAGCUAUAGCCUUGAUCUUGCUCACACCUCUGAUCAAAGGGAAAGGUUCAUAUUUACCUGAGAACUAAACUGGACAUUUUAACACAUAUUAUAUGGAAAAGGAUGCCUGAGUGAAGUAAGAAUUGAUUCAUGGCUGUGCAGCUGAGUCUAGAAGUGCCACUUUGGGAUGACAUGGAUCGAAGAUGCGGUUACUUUGCUUUUCCAUACGAGGAAUGCUACUUCUUCCCAGAUGAGCUGUCAUGUAGUGUAGAUGACUCUCUGGAGGAAGAGUUUGCUGCACAUUUGCAGUAUGUUUUAGCUACUAUCAACAUUUAUAUUCCAUUGGCAUUUGAGCAUAAGCACUGAUUAGCAUAAUCAUCAAUGCUUUAACGUGAAAAAUUCCUCCAGGAGACACAGGAGGGAUUGAAACUGUUCCCUUCCCCCAGAGGCAAGUCCUUUCCUAAGCUGGCUGCUGCACCAAAAGGUUUGAUUCUAGAAACAUUCCCAAGAUAUGCCCAAGAGUAAAUUAAACUAGAACAAACCUGUAAAUUCGUGUGUUUGUGUGUGUGUGUGUGGAGUAAGCAGGCCCUGAUUUAACAAUUACUAGGUGACAAAAUGUUGUCACUAUUUCCAAGCCCUGUGUUGUUUUGGCUGCUGCUCUGUGCUCUUGUGUCACCUUCACUGUGUGGGUUGGAACAAUCCAGGAGUGUUUUAGAGGCCAAAGUUUUAUACUUCAGAGGAAAGAUUCUGGUGUCUUCACGACAUAAAGCAAAGGGUUUUGUGGCACUGCCCUCUUCUAGAGCUUGCCUCAAGCUCCCCAGGUCAGGAGCUGGUCUCAAAAUAUCUCCAGAGCCACUUUUCUACAUUAUUUUAGAGUGGAUUUUUACUCUAGUUCUAAAAUGAUUCACUGACAGGAACUUCAGCUUGAAUUUUUGGCUUAAAGAGUCUCCUCUUUAUGGAGAAGAAGGAAAACUUUGAGGGGACUUAAAAGUUUGAAAGGUAACAUUGGAAACCUCCUCUUAAGAACUGAUCUUUAAAUCUCUUACCUUUCUGCUUCUGGGAGGUGACUUUGGGCCUCAGCUCCCAUUGACAGCUGUGGUCAAGGAUGUGCAUCUUGAUUAGGUCUCUAAGAAUGCUUCUCACAUCAUCAUCAGGUCUUCAAGGGGUGGACCACGAAACCUCUAGGGAGCAGGAAUAGUUAAAUGUUGUCAUUGUUCUUGAAAUGGCCAGAGAGAAAAAUGAGUAUUUUCCCAAAUUAACUAUUUCUUUGGGAGGGAAACAGUACCAAAAGCAGGUAUUUCUGCAACCAUUAUGUGUUUAUAGCCUCACAGUUCUUAUUCUUUCUGCAUAAGACACCACACCCUGCACUGAGUAAACAUGGGGGCUCUGCAAGAAAGAGUAGCAUAGAAAGCUGUGUGAACAUUUGGGGAUGUGCAGGGCACUGAACAUGCGUGUAGGCUUUUGGGUCUCCUGGGGUUUUUUCCAGAGAGAUGGACUUAAAUUUAAUUGGCAGAAAUUCCCUCUUUUAUCUUUAUCUCUUGUUUUGAUGUGGUAGCCAUGGAGAAAAGCCUGAGAUUAGUAACAGUAGGUUGUUGCAGAAUAAGAAUAACUCUCUACUUGCAUUUAGACUGUAGUAAUAUUGGGGAUUGUGUUUAACUGGAAAUAUUCAGAUCCCAGUGAAUAAAUGCCAGAUGCUCUUAGGACAUUAUUCAUCCACCUUGUACUAAAUGCUGGUAAUCUUUAGCUUUAUUCUUAGGGGUGUUUAAGUGGCUUUCACAGGGCUUUUUUCAGAGAAUCUAGGAAGAGACUGAGUGGCUUUUGAGGUGACAUGAGCUUAGAGAGGUAACAGUAGGAACAAAGCCAUCAGUCCUUGCUCUUCUUUGCUGUGGAUGAAUCUCUCUGAUCAUAAAGGUUUAGUUUCCCUAAUAAAGCCAUGUGGUACAUUACUUAGUUUGCCUCUCCUCAGCAUCCCAGCACAUUUUGCAGUGUUCCUUUAUAAAACAAGUUUACAUUUUUGAGCCAUAUCCAAACCAGAGCUCUUCAGGCGUAUUUAGGAAGAAAAGAAUUUCCUCUGCUCUUGCUGGGAUGACAAUUCUGGAUGGCACAGACACAUGCAGAGGUAAUAACACAUAUUGUUAAGCUCUACCAGUCAAUGUGUUUUUACACAUUGCUUCCAAGUGAUCACAGCUGUUUCUGGUGGGGGAAACAAGGCACGGAAGACUAGCUCAUCUUAAGGCUACAGCAAAAAGGCUGCUUGUCAGAGACUCCAGGGUCUGCUUGAAGACUGAAUGAAAACUUGCUUUGAAGCCCCUUUUUUAUCUGGAUGAGAAAGAUCCAAGAAACCCCCUUUUCGUGAAUUGUAGCAAUGAUGUCAGAACACAAAUAUGACUUAACAUAUAUUUCUUCCAAGAAGAUAAAAAAAGAGUCAUUUAAUUAGUAAAUGUCAAAGAUCUGUAUUUUCCUGCUGCUUUUUUCAUUGUUGAAGAUCUGGUAGAUGUGAAGAUCAGGGUACCCAGUUUAUGACAUACCUUAGGUGAGACACUCUUUCAAAUAAGUCUGCUGCAGGUUUGGUGUUGUCAGAGGCUGACAAGGAGUCUGGAGAGGGACUUCUGGCAAGGGCCCAUAGUGAUAGUUCAGAGGGGUGGCUUUAAACUGACAGAGGGGAGAUUUAAUCAGUGGUAUUUAACUACUACCUUUCUUGCUGCAGUUUAUCCAGGGCUUGUAUAUAAGCCUCAUCUCUGGAAGGCUUCUUUCCUCUUUUCAGAAAUCUAAUCAAAAUUCCCAUCCUUUUCCUCUUGCUUCCUCCACUAUUGUGUAACCCUGUAGCGUGAGGCAUACAAGAGCUAUGUACAGAUUCAACUAUUUUACAGUCUUCUCAUUUCCAUGUAUAGGAAAAAGCUGAAUUUAUACCAGUCCUGGUUAUUCCCUACAUCAACUUCAUCCCUGUGGAAACAUCAGGAGCAGAGCCUGGCAGUGCACAGGGACCAUAUAUGGUCCUUAGGGCAAACAGGAGCAUUGCAUACAUCUUCCCCCCGACCCCAAUGCUCGAGGAGGCCUGGCACACCCAGACCUGCCUCCACACAGCCGCACUCGGCUUCCUGACCCUGCCAUCGGUAAGGAGGGGGAAAGACCCGCCUCUCCUCGACCCGCAGUCCCGGCUGCCCUAACCGGAGCCCGCUGUGCUGUGGUGCGGAGCGGCGGCCAAGGAGUGCCAGGGAGGGCCUCAGCCAAGCGACCGGGAACAGGAUGGAGGGGGGAAGCGGGGGCUCGGCCCCGGGGAGCGGCCCGGCCGCCGCCGCCGCCCCUCUCCCCUCAGGAAAUCGCUGAGGGAGCAGCGAAAGCGCCGGGACCAGCGGAUGUGACAGCAGCGCGACCCCCUCAGCCGUGACCGCCCCCUCAGCCAAUCACCUCUCGCCUUGGAGCAUGAUUGACAACCAGCCUAGCCAAUCCCACUGCGGCACUCGCCGCACGGGCCCCGCCCUUCCUCUCUAUUGGCCGGCUGUUCUGUCAAUCGGCCGAGCUCUUCCCGCCCCUUUCCGGCAGGGGGAAACGCUAGGUAGGAAGGGUGGAGGGGGGGAGAAGAAAGAGAAAACAGCCAAUGAGAGGCUAGAGACGGGCACCUCAGCGGCUGAGUGACAGGCGAGCGGACCAAUGAGCGCGCCCCUUCCAUCCUCUGGCUCCCUCCCUCAAGGGUGGCGGGGCAGAGGGGGCGCACCUACCGCCCCUUCCCCGUUGGUCUGUCCCACUCCGGGCCUGGCGGGCUAGGUUGAGUUAGCGGCUCGGACCAUUGCUCACGGCGGGCGGAGGGGGGUGCGGGCGAGGAGGAAGGAGACGACGAAGGAGGCGGGGGGGCCGGGGGGCGGUUUAAAGAGACAGGAGCCGGGCGGGCGGGCGGCCGGCUGGGGGAGCGGGAGCGGCGGCGGGCGGAGACUCGCCCCUUCCUCACACACGCUCGCUCACACCGCGGCCAGGGUCGCCGCCGCCGCCAGCGCCCCCACUCCGUCCCCGCUCCCUCCCGGCUCCCCUUCCCCUCCGCCAGCCGCUUCCACAGCGGCCUCUAUGAGGUAGAAGGGAGCGGCGGCCACUCCGGGGGCGGCAGCGGCCGCUCCAGCCGCCUCCUCCUCCUCCUCGCCUCAGAGAGCCCCAUCUUUGUGUGUGAGGGAGAGGGCGGGCGGGAGGGAGUGCGCGCUGCCCGCCCGCUGCCGCCGCGCUUUGUUCGGAGCCGGGGGGCCGUGGCGGCGCGGAGCCCCGGCUCUAUGUGCCAGCCGCUGCCCGCGCCCCCACAGCAGCCCGCGGGGGCGGCGGAGGCCGCGCGGCAGGCGGCGGCCUGAGGGGCCGGAGCCCCUGAGGGCGGGCGCGCGGCCGCCCCGGCCCGUGCCCGCGGCCGUGCGGUUGGUGCGGAGCGGGGGAAGGGGCCGGCUCGCUGCCCGCCGGCCCGGCCCGUCUGCGGGCGGA